UGCAGAAUUGCAAGUACCUAUUUCUUUUUGUACCUAAAUUUUGUCUCAACUAAGGUCUCAACUAUAUUUUGUGGGGAUUAACAAAAACAUAAAAAUAUCAACAUAGAUUAUCUAAUAAUGAUAGAAAGGAAAAGAUACGAAAAAAAGUAAAAAGUACUUUACUAAACAAAUAAUAGAACAUAGGUAAUUAUAAUUUACGUUGUAACUUCAUAAAAAGUUAUUCUAUAAAUUGAAAGCUUUUUAUUCGCCAAAAUGCCUCGAAAAUCUAGACGCAAUAUGAAACAACAAAGAAUUGGAAAAAAAACCAAAAACGCCAAGAAGAAAGAGAAGCAGGAAACAGUCGAACAAGUACCACAUUACUAUUACACAAUAAAUCCAGACAGAAGAGUAACAAGACAGAUAAGUAAGAUUCUCCAAGCUAUUAACAAUUUUUCUUUAAUAGAAGUGUAUAGAUGUAUGCCCCUUUUGGGAGACGAGUAUAACAUUCCAUAUUGGGAUGUCCAUGCUGUGCGUUACUCUGUUGUUUUUGGUCAUUAGUCUAAUUUUCUGUAGUAUUUUGACAUAAGCGUUCCUGUUUUUAUCCAAUUUUUAUACUAAGAAUUACCAUGCAAGGUAAUAUUGUAAGUAGUAGUUGUAAGCUAUGAGUAGUUUUCAAUCAGUAUUCCUUACCAAACGUUGUUAGUUCUUAAGCAAAACCUUACUUUAAGUCAUUGUUGUGCCUUCAUAUUUUAUUAGUUUAAAAUGAACGACUAAAAGUUGGUAAUUUUUAAGUGUUCGAUUUUUGUAGCUGUAUUGUAUGACAUACUUUUGUUAAAUAUAAAACAAACAACUUUAACUGACUGUUAAGUUUAUAAUGUGACAAAGUUAUAAAUAUCUUGUUUAUUUUUUCACAAAUACAUUUACUUUUGACAUAAAUGUUAAUUUUUUUUUAAUUUUCUAUCUUACAUUAAAAAAUAAAACAUAA